CACACACACCCAAGGAUCACCACCAGAGUUCUCACAAAGUCUUAGAAACGGUCUGCCUGGUGUGUGUGGUAUCUUGGAGUUCCCAUGGAAGACAGACGACCAGGAGAAGGGAGCAGGGGGACGGCUGGUGCCUCCAGCCUAGAAGAGAGUCUCUUGCUGGCAGGGAGGCCUCCUCAGGGCACAGGGGACAUGUGACUGCAUUCCCAUAGGGGGCACCUGCAUUAACAUUCGCACCCGCUGGCAAAUCCAUGCUGUUCACACACCCCCACACCUUUGUGCCCACUGGCCCACUGGCCAAGGUGCCUUUCUGAAGACCAGACUCCACCCUCUGUGACCUGUACAAAUCUGGGACUAAAAAUAAAGCAGAUUCAUUCUAUCUCAAA